AUGUAUGAUACAGACACUACUUCAGUUAAUGUUAAUAAGUAUCGGAUGCGUGCUUUCAACACCUAUGUUAAGCAAUGUGGUCUUUUUAAUAUCGAAUAUAGCGGUCCGGCUUAUACUUGGACGAAUAAGCAAUUUUCUUCAAAUCCUAUGUUUGAAAGGCUAGAUCGAUGCCUUGUCAAUGCUGAAUGGUGUGGUCGGUUUCCCAACACUAAUGUUUUCAAUUUGCCUAUUAUUCUUAGUGACCAUGCUCCUAUUUUGGUAUCCACUAAAUCUCUAUUUCGUAGGCCGAAGCUCCAUUUUAAAUUCGAAAACUGGUGGACAUUUGAAGAUGAUUUCCAUGACAUGGCGGCGAAUGCUUGGAACUCUUCUGUUAAUAGGCCUUUCCAUGCCAGGACGACUAACCUUGCAGGAGCAAUAAAGAGGUGGUGUAAAAAGAAGAAACCCAUACAACAACAAUUGGACACAAUUCAAUAA
rnacentral:rRNA from 1 species